UAAUAGGAAAUUAAGGGCGUACGGUGGAUGCCUUGACUAGAAGAUGGUGAUGAAGGACGUGGCGUGGCGGCGAUACGCUUCGGGGAGGUGCCUAGCAACCUUUGAUCCGAAGAUGUCCGAAUGGGGGAACCCAUCUCGACUUGAUCGAGAUACUCUAUGAAUUACAUAGAGAAUACACCCAGUGAAGUAAAACAUUUCAGUAACUGGAGGAAAAGAAAACAAUUGUUAUUUCGUUAGUAGCGGCGAGCGAAAACGAAGAAGCCCAAACCUAGUUUCAUUCUCACGAUGCGAAUUUCGUCUCGUGGGAAUGAUGCUGGGGGUUGUAAGGCGGUAAUGUUGCUUAUUUAUAAGCAAGAGUAGUUAAAAAAUUUCUGGUUAGGUUAAUCUUCUGGAAAGAAGAACCCGAGUGGGUAAUAGUCCCGUAACCGAAAAUCAGAAAUCUACUUUGUUACCGUUCUUGAGUACUUCGAGACACGAAUACCUCGAAGGAAUCUGCCGGAACUAACCGGUAAGGCUAAAUACACUUCUAGAUCGAUAGUGAACUAGUACCGUGAGGGAAAGGUGAAAAGAACCCCGGAAGGGGAGUGAAAUAGACCUGAAACCGUAUGUCUACAAGGAGUCGAAGAGGUCGUAAGACCUCGACGGCGUGCCUAUUGAAGAAUGAGCCAACGAGUUAAUGCACGCGGCCCGGCUAAGUCCCGAUAAAGGAUGGAGCCAUAGGGAAACCGAGUGUGAAUAGCGCGUCCCCGCGCAAGCGGGAAGUCGCGUGCAUUAGACCCGAAGCCAGAGCGAGCUUGUCAUGAGCAGGGUGAAUAGAACCGAAAGGUUCUAGGAGGCCCGAACCGGUGAGCCGUGCAAUACUCUCGGAUGACUUGUGAUAAGAAGUGAAAAGCUAAUCGAGCCUGGUAAUAGCUGGUUCUCUCCGAAAUAGCUUUUGGGCUAGCGUCGAGCGUUCCUUAGAGAGGUAGAGCACUGGAAGGUUUAGACAGGGAGCAAUCUCACUAAACCUAUCAAACUCCGAAUUCUCUAAAUUAAAAGCUCGGCAGUUAGACGGCGGGGGCUAAGCUCCGUGCGUCAAAAAGGAAACAGCCUAGAUCUCUAUUUAAGGUCCCUAAAUUCAUGCUAAGUGCACUUAAGGAGGUGAAAUUUCUCUGACACUGAGGAGGUUGGCUUAGAAGCAGCCAUCCUUUAAAGAAAGCGUAACAGCUCACUCAGUCAGAGAUUUCGCACCGCAGAUUCAUGGGGCUAAGCAUGGUACCGAAACUGAGGAUUUCAUUUUGCUUCGGCAAGAUGGAGUGGUAGGAGAGUAUUCGCAUCUGCAGUGAAGGCGAAGGGGUGACCCACGCUGGAGCGUUGCGAAGUAAGAAUGUUGGCACAAGUAACCACAAUGCGGGUGAGAAACCCGCACGCCGAAAGAACAAGGUUUCCCUCUCAACGUUUGUCGGAGAGGGGUUAGUCGGUCCUAAGG
rnacentral:rRNA from 1 species